rnacentral:rRNA from 1 species
GACGAACGCUGGCGGCGUGCUUAACACAUGCAAGUCGAACGGACAGGCCCUGCUUUUGUGGGGUGCUCGAGUGGCGAACGGGGGAGUAACACGUGAGUAACCUGCCCUUGUCUUUGGGAUAACUUCAGGAAACUGGGGCUCAUACCGGAUAGGAGCUCUUGCUCCAUGGUGGGGGUUGGAAGGUUUCGGCGGUUGUGGAUGGAUUGGAGGCUUAUCAGCCUGUUGGUGGGGUAGGGGCUUACCAAGGCUUUGACGGGUAGCCGGCCUGAGAGGGUGACCGGCGACAUUGGGACUGAGAGACGGACCAGACUCCUACGGGAGGCAGCGGUGGGGAGUAUUGCACAAUGGGCCGAAGCCUGAUGCAGCAACGCCGCGUGCGGGAUGACGGCUUUCGGGUUGUAAACCGCUUUCGCCUGUGACGAAGCGUGAUUGACGGUAAUGGGUAAAGAAGCACCGGCUAACUACGUG